rnacentral:rRNA from 1 species
UGGUGGCGAGUGGCGAACGGGUGAGUAAUAUAUCGGAACGUGCCCAGUCGUGGGGGAUAACGCAGCGAAAGCUGUGCUAAUACCGCAUACGAUCUCUGGAUGAAAGCGGGGGACUCGCAAGGGCCUCGCGCGAUUGGAGCGGCCGAUAUCAGAUUAGCUAGUUGGUGGGGUAAAGGCCCACCAAGGCGACGAUCUGUAGCUGGUCUGAGAGGACGACCAGCCACACUGGAACUGAGACACGGUCCAGACUCCUACGGGAGGCAGCAGUGGGGAAUUUUGGACAAUGAGCGCAAGCCUGAUCCAGCAAUGCCGCGUGCAGGAUGAAGGCCUUCGGGUUGUAAACUGCUUUUGUACGGAACGAAACGGUCUGCCUUAAUACGGUGGGCUAAUGACGGUACCAUAAGAAUAAGCACCGGCUAACUACGUGCCAGCAGCCGCGGUAAUACGUAGGGUGCGAGCGUUAAUCGGAAUUACUGGGCGUAAAGCGUGCGCAGGCGGUUAUAUAAGACAGAUGUGAAAUCCCCGGGCUCAACCUGGGACCUGCAUUUGUGACUGUAUAGCUAGAGUACGGUAGAGGGGGAUGGAAUUCCGCGUGUAGCAGUGAAAUGCGUAGAUAUGCGGAGGAACACCGAUGGCGAAGGCAAUCCCCUGGACCUGUACUGACGCUCAUGCACGAAAGCGUGGGGAGCAAACAGGAUUAGAUACCCUGGUAGUCCACGCCCUAAACGAUGUCAACUGGUUGUUGGGUCUUCACUGACUCAGUAACGAAGCUAACGCG